CGCAAGUUGACGUCAUGUUGGUGGCGGGACAAACUUUGGUACAAGUGAAAGUGAGAAUUUGAGACCAGUUUGUUUAAAUCACUGAAGACGUUGCUAUAGCAAUUUAGCACUGGGCUACCAAACAUAUGGAGCAGGGAGAUUUAAAUCCUUCUGGAUGUAUCUUACUUUUCUUAUCUGGAAUUAGACACCAUGUUGUUAAAGGUGUUGAACUCAGACAGUCGCUGGUCAUGGAAAGCAGCCUGAGUCUAGAUGGAGGGAUGAAUGCAUCAGCUGUUGGUCGAAGAUUCGUUGGUGUAUGAACAGUUGACUGAGGAUUUUUUUUCACUUUUGUUUUUUGAGGUGUCUGGGUGAAUUUCAUCUUCUUCAACAUUAAGAACCAUGAAGCGGUUGUUGGUUUUAACAGAGAUGACAUCUUUCAGGGUUCUGGUCUGCGAUAGGCCUGUGUGAUGUGAAUUUGGAGAUUCAUGUAUUGAUGUAGGCUCUUCCAUUUGUAAGUUUUCAUCUUCAGAUCUAACUUUCAUUAGGAGCUGAACAUUUUGUUGUAAUUCAGAUAUUUGCUUCUCAAAGGAAAGCUUCCAAUCAGAAAACAUAGGCAGGUCAUACAUCCAGGAAACUGUUGUUUGUGUUUCUUGAUCACAAGUAAUAGAUAUAGAUGGUUUGUUUGUUUAAUUUAUUUCUCCACACACAUGAA